rnacentral:rRNA from 1 species
AACGAACGCUGGCGGCAUGCCUAACACAUGCAAGUCGAACGAGAUCUUCGGGUCUAGUGGCGCACGGGUGCGUAACGCGGGGGAAUCUGCCCUUUGGUUCGGAAUAACAGUUGGAAACGACUGCUAAUACCGGAUGAUGACGAAAGUCCAAAGAUUUAUCGCCAGAGGAUGAGCCCGCGUAGGAUUAGCUAGUUGGUGUGGUAAAGGCGCACCAAGGCGACGAUGCUUAGCUGGUCUGAGAGGAUGAUCAGCCACACUGGGACUGAGACACGGCCCAGACUCCUACGGGAGGCAGCAGUGGGGAAUAUUGGACAAUGGGCGAAAGCCUGAUCCAGCAAUGCCGCGUGAGUGAUGAAGGCCUUAGGGUUGUAAAGCUCUUUUACCCGGGAUGAUAAUGACAGUACCGGGAGAAUAAGCUCCGGCUAACUCCGUGCCAGCCGCCGCAGUAA